AGGAGCCAUACUUGCAAGUACGACAAUUGGUUGUGGUUCGAAGAAGCUGCUGCAUGCAUUCAUUUACUUCACAUUCAAACAAGUCCACAAUGAAAAUGUUCGAUCAACCUAACAAGUGGUUCUUGAUUUCUCCAAUUUAUCUUUGUAUCUUUAGUUGAACCACAAAUAAAAUGUUACUGCUACCUGUACUUAACAAAAUUUAUAGGAUUAGAAUGAAGAAAAAUAUAGAGCAAUUCACCACUAAGAUGUAUAGGUCCCACUUUUUCAUCCGUUGGGCCAUAUUGUUUUUGGGGUUCUCUGGCCACAAACACAUUGUUUUUUUUAUCGAAUAAAAAGGUUAUUAUAUAACUUGUAAAUCAUUGUUUUCGAAAUUGUGAAACUAGAUUUUCCCAUCAAAUCACGGGGACCUCUUUCGUUUAUUAUCUUGUUUUGUUUAAGAUGUACUAUAUCUUAUUUCGCUCUU